GUCGUAACAAGGUUUCCGUAGGUGGACCUGCGGAAGGAUCAUUACCUAGAGUUUGUAGACUUCGGUCUGCUACCUCUUACCCAUGUCUUUUGAGUACCUUCGUUUCCUCGGCGGGUCCGCCCGCCGAUUGGACAACAUUCAAACCCUUUGCAGUUGCAAUCAGCGUCUGAAAAAACAUAAUAGUUACAACUUUCAACAACGGAUCUCUUGGUUCUGGCAUCGAUGAAGAACGCAGCGAAAUGCGAUAAGUAGUGUGAAUUGCAGAAUUCAGUGAAUCAUCGAAUCUUUGAACGCACAUUGCGCCCCUUGGUAUUCCAUGGGGCAUGCCUGUUCGAGCGUCAUUUGUACCUUCAAGCUCUGCUUGGUGUUGGGUGUUUGUCUCGCCUCUGCGUGUAGACUCGCCUUAAAACAAUUGGCAGCCGGCGUAUUGAUUUCGGAGCGCAGUACAUCUCGCGCUUUGCACUCAUAACGACGACGUCCAAAAGUACAUUUUUACACUCUUGACCUCGGAUCAGGUAGGGAUACCCGCUGAACUUAAGCAUA
rnacentral:rRNA from 1 species